rnacentral:sRNA from 1 species
GAACCUGCGGAAGGAUCAUUGUCAAAUCCAAAAAUUAAAAAAAACCUGAGAAUAUGUUAAAUAGCAUGCAAUAGGUGGUGAGGGUAAAACCUCUUCAUUUGUUGCUCUUUGCCCGACCAAUCAUUGAUUGUGUUUGGGCAAUUGAAUUCAAAAAUCGGCACGGGAAGUGCCAAGGGCUUAUGAAAUGGGAUACUUUUACCGUGUAGGGGACCGUUUACGGAAUCCCUUUAUCACAGUUCUCAAAAGGAUUCCGCAGAAGAAACCUUAUAUGACUCUCGACAACGGAUAUCUAGGCUCUCGCAUCGAUGAAGAACGUAGCAAAAUGCGAUACUUGGUGUGAAUUGCAGAAUCCCGUGAAUCAUCGAGUUUUUGAACGCAAGUUGCGCCCGAAGUCAUUAGGCUGAGGGCACGUCUGCUUGGGUGUCACGCAUCGCGUCGCCUCCUACAUAGAAAUAUGGGUGGCGGAUUAUGGCUUCCCGUGCUUUGAUGCGGCUAGCUAAAAAGAUUGCUCGCUCACUAUGCACAUUGCGACAAGUGGUGGUCGAUUUUAUUGAACGCAAAAUUGUCGUCUAAAUGUUGUGUUGAGACGAGUCCUUGGAUCCUUAUGUGCAUUAGUCCCUUAUUGAGGGUCGAUUGCCUAUGACUGCGACCCCAGGUCAGGC